CCUCGUUGUUCCAUCCUUCUAAUCUCAUACACUCGUCAACUUGGAUAAUCGGAAGACUUAGCAACUAUGUUGAGGAUGACGACGCUUUGAACUUGAAGUAGUGGGGAUGCCUAGAUACACAUUUAGACGUCUUAAGUUAAUGUACUUGUUUGUUGUACGCAUGUAUUGAACAUAUUGUAUAUCAAGUUGUUGUAUUUGAUUUUAAUUCUUUGUAAUCGACUUUUAGAAAUGCAAUGAAAUCCAUUAUUUAAUUA